GUAGGGUGCGAGCGUUGUCCGGAAUUACUGGGCGUAAAGAGCUCGUAGGUGGUUUGUCGCGUUGUCCGUGAAAUCCCACGGCUUAACUGUGGGCGUGCGGGCGAUACGGGCAGACUAGAGUGCUGCAGGGGAGACUGGAAUUCCUGGUGUAGCGGUGGAAUGCGCAGAUAUCAGGAGGAACACCGGUGGCGAAGGCGGGUCUCUGGGCAGCUACUGACGCUGAGGAGCGAAAGCGUGGGGAGCGAACAGGAUUAGAUACCCUGGUAGUCCACGCCGUAAACGGUGGGUACUAGGUGUGGGUUCUUUCCUAAGGAUCCGUGCCGUAGCUAACGCAUUAAGUACCCCGCCUGGGGAGUACGGCCGCAAGGCUA
rnacentral:rRNA from 1 species